UACUAGCAGUCAUUCUACGCCUAUACGUUCAUUAAUACCUAGUGGAAGUCCUAACCGCACCACGUUGAGCAAGUCCUCACCAGCCAAACUUCGUAGACUUCCUUUAGCGCCGGAAAAGCAUCAAAGCGGAUACGCCCAAAUAUUUGCCAAAAACAGAGAAAAGAAAUCAAAGGGCACUAAACACAAUAUUGCUAAGCAACCAAGUAACCAACCAGUCAAGGCUCUUAAUGCGCAUGCUCAAACUACUACAAGUAAAUACAACCCUAAACAUUAUGAAUAUGAACAAUCUUACUCCAGUCGUACUCACUAUCAAGCGGUCCAUAAUCAACAGCAACCGGGCUAUAAUCAACAUCAGCCGGUCCAUAAUACACAUCAGCCGGUCCAUACUGCUGUGCAGCAUGGCUAUAAUGGUAAUGCUCCGACUUACAGCAACAACUUUAGACAGUAUUCCGGUUCUGGACACGAAAAUCAAMGAAUAGAACAAGACUUAUCAAAUAUUGACUCUCAAAUUCAAUACUAUCAGAAUUACCAGGGAAAACCUCAUAGAUGACCUAUGUUGACGGCUAGAAGUCAAACAAGAAAUUCAGUAGAUCAAACUAUCUAAUAUUAUCCAAAGUUUGGACGAUUCUAAACAUUGUUGUAUCAACACGGUCAUAGGUACCCAGAAAUCAGAAAGGCUGUCAGAGUGGUUUGUGCUCAAUGUUAGACAAAUACAUGGCACUAUUACAAUCGGAUUUCAGUCACUGAUGUGCGCGAACUCGGAAAAACACCUAAAAUGAGUCGUACACUGAUACCAUAGCUUGCCCACGCCUUGAAGGAUUUUCCAAUUACAGCUCAUUCCUUAUCCAGACCCACAUGUCCAAGAAUUUGUUUGCUCUGAGAAAAUGUGCUUGUGUGGUGUCCCAAAGCCUGAAAUGAGGAGUGAAAAGUGGUCUGGGCACUACUAGAAUGACGUUUUUAUUAAAAUAUUCAAAAACUGCGAUAAACAAAUAUAAGAAAUAAUUAUUGUAUUGCCUGGAACGGAUCUGGAAAAAGAAAUGGAUCUUACAUGUACAUAAACUUAUAUUAUCGAAGAAUUAAUAUUAAAUCAUCAUUCACUACUCGUC